rnacentral:rRNA from 1 species
GACGAACGCUGGCGGCGUGCUUAACACAUGCAAGUCGAACGGAAAGGCCUUUUCGGAGGUACUCGAGUGGCGAACGGGUGAGUAACACGUGGGUGAUCUGCCCUGCACUCUGGGAUAAGCCUGGGACACUGGGUCUAAUACCGGAUAGGACCGCACUUUAGUGUGUGUGGUGGAAAGUUUUUUCGGUGUAGGAUGAGCCCGCGGCCUAUCAGCUUGUUGGUGGGGUAAUGGCCUACCAAGGCGGCGACGGGUAGCCGGACUGAGAGGUUGGUCGGCCACAUUGGGACUGAGAUACGGCCCAGACUCCUACGGGAGGCAGCAGUGGGGAAUAUUGCACAAUGGGCGCAAGCCUGAUGCAGCGACGCCGCGUGGGGGAUGACGGCCUUCGGGUUGUAAACUCCUUUCGCCAGGGACGAAGCGUUUUGUGACGGUACCUGGAGAAGAAGCACCGGCUAACUACGUG